rnacentral:rRNA from 1 species
AAUGAACGUUGGCGGCGUGGAUUAGGCAUGCAAGUCGCGCGACAAGGAACCUUCGGGUUCUGGAGGAGCGGCAAACGGGGUAGUAAGGCAUCGGAACGUACCCUCUUGUUGGGAAUAGCCGCGGGAAACUGCGAGUAAUGCCCAAUAAUCCCUACGGGGCAAAGGUCCGCCGCAGGAGGAGCGGCCGAUGUGAUACCAGCUAGUUGGUGAGGUAAUGGCUCACCAAGGCUUAGACGUCUAGGGGUGUGAGAGCAUGGCCCCCACCACUGGACGUNAGAUACUGCCCACGACACCUACCGGUGGGCUGCAGUCGA